ACGGCUGCUGUUGGAAUGGAGGCCUUUCCAGGGGAGAUGGAGGUCCGUCAUAGCCUGGUACUUCAUUCUUCUCCUCCUACUUUCUCGGCAUUUCGAGUAUGGCCUCAUCAGUUCAUCAGUCAUCACUGUCUGGAUAUCUUCUUGACGCCUUCCUGCAAUACAGCUGUCAUUUCUUGCCAGACCCAUCCCUGCAUAUUCUGUGGUCCGCCAUUUCUGAGCUUGCAGGGGGGGGGGGGGGUGGCGUCUCCUUGGAGGUCUCAGCGAGUGUGGGUGAACCUCCUGUGCGCCUCUUUGGGAACCCCUUGUUCCCACUCUCAUCCAGUCGACCCAUCAGAGAAAAUGCAGCGCUGGCUACACAUCUCCUGUAGACCUUUUCUGCGCAUGAUAUUUCCCUUUGACAAAGGGCUUUGGAGAGUUUUGGGACGGUCAGCUGCUUCUUCCAUUCGGGGUUCAAUCCUCGAGGGGAUUAACCAAGCGAUCUCAAUUUCGGAAGCUAAGGACAGACUGGUAGAACGAACCCACUAGUGCUGUGAAACAUUAGUUGCAGCAUUUUGGGCUAAUCAUAGGUUCCCAGUAGAUUGCUUUUCUUUUUCCGUAGUUUGAUCCUUGCCAGAACAGCUCUCAACGGGUGGGGCUGACGAUCAAUUUGAUAUUUGCUUGUUUUGAAAUGGGUAAUUUGAUGGGUAAAGCAGAAACUUAUUUUGACGUGCUGCGGUCAAAACCCGCCCACGCCAUGGAUCCUCCAACCUUGGAGCUCUGGUGAUGGGUUCCUCUUCCCGUCCAUUUGCUGAGUAAAAGUCUGUUCUUCGUCCACCGCGGAUAAUUUUUUCGCCUCGGGGGUGUCUGUCAUCAGAGACGAACACCCCUGCUGGUUCCAAGGUUGGACGCAGCGAUGGUCUGGCCAGGGCGUCUCCUUUGCUUUCUGGAGGGAUUGCCUUCCUACUUGACCGGAGCGUUCUGCACCAGCUGUCGUCUCCUAGGGACCUCUGCCUCCAUCGCGAGCUCUUCUGGACUCCGAUUCACCCUCACACCAUCUUCAUCGCCUUGUUCUCAGCUUGGAGUUGAUGCCUAGGAAUAUUUUGACAAGGUAGAAUAUGGCAGACAACACGGAGUGUGGAAAUAUUUUUGACAUAAAUGUAGGUCGGAUCAAGAAAUACUGUCGCUGUGGGAUCGGGGGAACAUGGCAACCCCAUGGAUCGGCCAGGGGGCCUGGUUGUCAGCUGGGAAGCCUCUCUGUCUGUGCUUGGAUCGUUCCUCUCUUCUAGUUUACUCCCAUUCAGUAUUCGAUGGGCACACCAUGUCUGAGGCUGCUUGCCACGUUCUCUGUCGCCUACAUUUGGGCAGCAUUCUGCUGCAUGCCGUUCGUGGCUCGGCGAUGCUUUCUGCUGUUCUUGUAGAUCAAAGUUGGGAGUCUUUCGUUGUUUUCUGGGCAUUGUGAGGUCCGAAUGCUUAUCCUAUUUGGAUGUUUGUCAGCUGAAUUCAGAAAUCCGUGUGCCCGUUUUUCCAUGAUCACUGUUUGCAGCUUCCUCGGGGAAGGCCGGAGAUUAGAAUCGCGGAUACUAAUCGUGCUUCUUGUUCUUGUCCGGCUGAUUGCUCAGGUUCAGCGGUGAGAUGAGCGCCCACCGGGCGAGCAUCCCUGUUGGGGGGGAGAUGGCGACGUUGACCUGGCUCGAUCCGGUGGCGGACGCGCCCGUUUAGACGGAGUUGGUCUUGGGGAAUGGAGCCACUGGUCCGCGGGAGCGCACAUCACAUUCUUGUGUCUUGUGGGCAGCUGUUCAUCAACCGUCUUUUUGCUCUCUAGGGAAUUCAUAUUUUUCUUUUCAUUUUUUCGUUCCCUUACUGUUCCUGCACUCUGGCGGACAUCUCUACCUUGAUUCUUUUCUGAAUGCGAUCUCGCUCUUCACCAAGGUCUCUCUC
rnacentral:lncRNA from 1 species